GAUGAACGCUGGCGGCGUGCCUAACACAUGCAAGUCGAGCGGCAGCGCGGGGUGCUUGCACCCUGUCGGCGAGCGGCGGACGGCUGAGUAACGCGUGGGAACGUGCCCCAAAGUGAGGAAUAACUGCCCGAAAGGGUAGCUAAUACCGCAUAUUAUCUUCGGAGCAAAGGAUUUAUCCGCUUUGGGAGCGGCUCGCGUCGGAUUAGGUAGUUGGUGAGGUAAUGGCUCACCAAGCCGACGAUCCGUAGCUGGUCUGAGAGGAUGACCAGCCAGACUGGAACUGAGACACGGUCCAGACUCCUACGGGAGGCAGCAGAGAGGAAUCUUACAAAAUGGGCGAAAGCCUGAUGGAGCAACGCCGCGUGCAGGACGAAGGGCUUCGGGUUGUAAACUGCUUUUAUAAGUGAGGAAUAUGACGGUAACUUAUGAAGAAGGAUCGGCUAACUACGUG
rnacentral:rRNA from 1 species